UGAAUACGAGACGCUACGGCGUCGAAGCAGUCUAUGUCAUACUUCCAAGAAAAGCUUGCACUGUCAUAAACAAAUAAUGCCUGUACCAUAACCGACACAGGUGGGUAGGUAGAGUAUACUAAGGGGCGCGAGAUAACUCUCUCUAAGGAACUCGGCAAAAUGACUCCGUAACUUCGGGAGAAGGAGUGCCUUAUUUAUAAGGUUGCAAUAACAAGAUCCAAGCAACUGUUUAUCAAAAACACAGGUCUCCGCUAAGUCGUAAGACGAUGUAUGGGGGCUGACGCCUGCCCAGUGCCAGAAGGUUAAAGAAGUUGGUUAGCAUUAGCGAAGCUGAUAACUGAAGCCCUGGUGAACGGCGGCCGUAACAAUAACGGUCCUAAGGUAGCGAAAUUCCUUGUCGGGUAAGUUCCGACCCGCACGAAAGGCGUAAUGAUUUGGAUACUGUCUCGGAGAGGGGCUCGGUGAAAUAGACUUGUCUGUGAAGAUGCGGACUACCUGCACCUGGACAGAAAGACCCUAUGAAGCUUUACUGUAACCUGAAAUUGAAAUUGGACUUUAUUUGCGCAGUAUAGGUGGGAGGCGUUGAGAAUAUUCUUGCGGGAAUAUUGGAGCCAUCAGUGAGAUACCACUCUUGUAAUGUUAGAUUUCUAACUUUGAAUCAUUAUCUGGUCAAAGAACAGUUUCAGGCGGGCAGUUUGACUGGGGCGGUCGCCUCCUAAAUGGUAACGGAGGCGCACAAAGGUUUCCUCUGAACGGGUAGAAAUCGUAUCUAGAGUGUAAAGGCAUAAGGAAGCUUGACUGUGAGACCUACAAGUCGAGCAGGGACGAAAGUCGGUCUUAGUGAUCUGACGGUGCUGAGUGGAAAGGCCGUCACUCAACGGAUAAAAGUUACUCUAAGGGUAACAGGCUGAUCUCCCCCAAGAGUUCACAUCGACGGGGAGGUUUGGCACCUCGAUGUCGGCUCAUCGCAUCCUGGGGCGGUAGUACGUCCCAAGGGUUGGGCUGUUCGCCCAUGAAAGCGGUACGCGAGCUGGGUUCAGAACGUCGUGAGACAGUUCGGUCCAUAUCCGGUGUAGGCGUUAGAAUAUUGAGAGGAGCCUUCUUUAGUACGAGAGGACCGAGAAGGACAUACCUCUGGUGUACCAGUUAUCGUGCCAACGGUAAACGCUGGGUAGCUAUGUAUGGAGAGGAUAACCGCUGAAAGCAUCUAAGUGGGAAGCCCACCUCAAGAUAAGUAUUCUC
rnacentral:rRNA from 1 species